rnacentral:lncRNA from 1 species
GCCUGGCUCCGAGUAACUGCGAGCUGGAGGCGCGGCUGCUCUCUCGGGCGGACCUCAGCUCUGCGAACCCUGUGGCUGCCGGAGCACUGAGCGCCCUGCCCGGAGUCCCGCGGAGCCUGGCGAGGAGGGGUCGCUGCAUCCCGAGGGCCAGCCCUGAGCCGGGAGAAGAUGAAACAGCUGUCAUGGAAAUAUUUUUUAAAUCUCAUACUGGUCAAACGGUGUAAACUUUGCUGGAAGGAACCUUACUCAGAGGGCCAAUCACCUGCUUCUCUAGAGUUCUCAAGCUCUCCUGUGAGCACCAGGUUGAGCUGCAGAAAGCCAGAACCAGCUCAGAAACUGAGAAAUGGACAUGAAGAUGCCCAGGAAACAUCUCUACAGCAUCCCUAACUGGGGGUUGAUCCAUUCAUUUCCAGACACAGAGAACAGAGUCACAUUCUGCUGUUUCCAUAUGUACCAUUUUAGUAAGACUUCUUGGGGCACAAGGCAGGAAGUUGGGGACAAUAUAUUUGUCUGCACCAAGGCAGCCUGAGAAGAGAGAAGUGAAUACUCCUGGGGUUAUUCUAUAUUAUUCACUUAAUAUUCUAAGUGAGUCCUCUAGGGGUACCUGAGACAUGGAGUAUGAAAGUACACAUUCACAAAAGUACCAGCUUUAAAACUAGAUUAUCUCUACUAUUCAAAAACACCAAGGAAAGGCCACACAAUGGAGACAAAGUGCAUCUGAGAUCUAGCAAAUUUCCCUGUUGGCCACAUACUGAUAAUGAUGUAUUAAAAUCAAUUCUAUACUGUGGGGUACUUAUUUGACAUUAAUAGGUACCAUGGUGGUUUAACAUAGUUGCUGCCCAGAGAAAACGCCGCACACUCACCUACACUAAAAUGAAGUCUGAGUCAGCUGCCUCCCCUCCGCCAUCCCUUCCAAAGCCAAUGGUUGAAAGUCACAGAAGUCCCUCUGCUGCCACCUAGUGACGACAAUGUGAAUACAACUACACAGCCUCCUGGGAAAGAAGUUUUGAACCACGUUUGCUUCUAAAGGAAGCCUGUAAUUACCUCUGAGUGCUCUAUUUUGGCUACAAUUUAAAAACAUAUAUAUUUUAAAACUCUAUAAACUCUUAUGCAUAUCCCUUUUUAAGAAUCUGACCUGUAAUGGAUGUAGCCUCACUUUCAAGAACCUAAAAGCUAUGCCCCCAAUUCAGGGAGUAGAACAGACAGGCUUAAGAACAGUGCCUAAAAAUGCCACUAAAUUUAUCUUUAAAAUGCCUGUGGUUCCUUAGCACUUGAAUUCCGUUAUGCCCCUGGGUAUAGUCACCUGGAUGUUAGGGGCUGUCAAAAUUCAGCCCUCAGUUGGUGAUCAGUAGGUUUUCCCUUUAAGUGGUUUCUGAAAGGAUUUUUUUUAAAAAUCUUGAAAUUCUCAUGUCUGGAUGAUGUUUCCAGUUUUGUGGAAGAAUAAAAGAAAAGGGACAUGAAAUUCUGGCUCCCUGGGGGCAGUGGCUGUGUCUUAUUAAUCUCUGUGCCCAUUGUACCAACACCGGUCAGUCACAGCAUGUACUCAACCAAUGCUGAUGAAUGCAGAGGGGCGAGGGGCUGGCACGCUCUUGACCCCUUAUAGGGGCUGCGUCGAUGGCCAGGGUUCAAUGGGAACUUUCUGGUACAGUCUUGCUCUGCCAAUCUUUCAAAUUAAGUGCAGCACAAUUGGAAGCCUCACAUUCUCAUAGACGGGUUGAGGAGGGCAUUAGGGGCAGAAAGGCUCACAUAAGGCCUGAGCGUGAGGUUUCCUGCCCAGCACUGCUGUGCCAUUGCAGCCCACCUUCUUCUCACCUUUCCUUCCACACCACGGCGCGGCAGGUGCAGAAACCGUGCUGGGAUUGAGGCCCUAGAGGCUGACUACAGGUCUUGGGGGCAAAACAUCUGGACACACAGCUGAAGAUGAGCCAAGUAUAUUAGUCAGGGUUCUCUAGAGAAACAGAACCAACAAGAUAGAGAGAUGCAGAGAGACAGAGGGACAGACAGACAGAUUUAAGUAACUGACCCAUAAAAUCUUGGAGGCUUGGCAAGUCCAAAAUCUGCAAGAUGGAAGUGGGCUGGCACAUUGGAGACUCAAGGAAGAGUUGCACGUUGAGUUCAAAGGCCGGCUGCUGGCAGAAUUCCUUUCUGCUCAGGUGAAGUCGGUCUCUGUUCUAUUAAGACCUUCAACUGAUUGGAUGAGGUCCACCCAUAUUAUGAAGGGUCAUUUGCUUUACUCAACAUCUACUCAUCUAAAUAUUAAUCUCAUUGAAAAAAAACCCCAGAAACAUCCAGAAUAGCAUUUGACCAAAUGUUUGGACAAUGCAGCCUAGCCACAUUAACACACAAAAUUAACUGUCACAGCAAGACACCAGGGAAGCAUUGGAAGAUGUUAGCGGCUGUCAUUGAAAUGGGUGCCGUCAGGUGGACGGCAGCCAUCCAUCGGGCAAGAGCGGGGCAGCUGGAAGGGCCCUCCCCUCCCGUUUGCUUUCUGCUCUUCACAGCUCACGGAUAGAGGAAUUUUCUCAGCACAUUUCCCAGGAGGAGUUUGGCACCACCAUUUCUUGAAAACAGAUGUCUGCAGGGAUGUGUGUGUGCCUGUGAAUAUGAAGUCCAGAGCCUGGGACUGAGAACAGCAAGGGGAACAGGUGGCCACAGGGGAGUUGCCAGAUUGCUGACUUAAGAUGUGCUCCCAGGGCUGCACUGGUGUCGGUCGUGAGAGCGAUCACGGUUUGUGCAACGUCUGAACUUUCUAUCAACUUAUGGUUUAAUCAAUUUGCUGUUUACUCCAGCUAUUUGCAACCUCUCCUCAGUUACUUGGUGUUCAGCAGUGUAAUAUAUCUUCAUGUGUGAAUAUAAAUAUACUAUUUAGUGGAAACUAAAAGGAAUUGUGGAGGAAGAAUUUUUUUGGAUAAUUUUAUGUUUUCAUAAUGUAAAAAUUAAAGAUAUUUGAAGAGUUGAGUAUGUCAGUUUUGGGGAUGCAAGAGAAUGACUUCGGGACUACCAUAAUAUUUAAAAUCAUCACUACUCUUUCUUUCCACCUAAGUCUCAUAGCAAAAGAGGAAAUUUACUUCAGUCUCUUUCUGUAGCAGAACAUUAUCGUGCUGUAUUCCUGUGUUCACUUAUCUGCGCUGGAUUGUGAGUCCUUACAGAGAGAAAUUGUUAUGUGCUAUGUUCCCAACACCUGCACAUUAUAGGUGGUCACUAAGUGCUUGAUGAAUAAAUGAAUGAGGGAA